UGGUGGGAGGUGGUGGAGUUUUGUGUUCUCGUCUACAUUUUUUUUAUUCUCUCAAAAUGGGGACAAUAAGCCCUUUCUUUAAUACCAAUCUAUUACUGUAAGGCUCCAAGGAGGUGCUGAUGUGGUUGGAGUUGGAUGUCGCUCGAGCUCCACAGCAUUGGAGAGUACCUACAAAGAAAGUCCACAUUUGUCGAGAUGUUCCAAUAGGAGAUCUUCUGAUGCCUAAGUCAGUCGGAGCUUUGAAAAUAGUAAAGAGAAAAGAUAGCGAUAGUCGAAAGAGCAAAGAAAGUACUCCUUUCUUCCCUCUUAAGGCUUCCCCUUCUCUCGAGUGUUUGAGUUUGCUUGCUUCUUUCUUUCUUACCUGAGGGUCCCCUUCCUACCUCUUUUAUAUUGAGUUGAGCCCAUAAGCUGCUAGCCAAAAUCUAUGAGUUUGUUAGACCUAGCUCUAUAGGCCAUCAGAUCACAUUCUGACCCUUUAUUGAGGGAGGAAUUGCUCCCACCUCUGAAUUGAGGUUGUUAGUCGUAGAUGUCAGGUAUAAACUUCACCUUCAUGACUAGCCAAAUUGGUGGUCCUGCAUGGAUUCACAGUUGGUGUGACCUCCCUAUGUCAUCUUAGGU
rnacentral:lncRNA from 1 species